rnacentral:rRNA from 1 species
AAGACCUCAAAUCAGGUGGAACUACCUGCUGAACUUAAGCAUAUCAAUAAGCAGAGGAAAAGAAACUAACAAGGAUUCCCUUAGUAAUGGCGAAUGAA